CCGCGAGUAGUUCAGUGGUAGAACGCUGAUCUGAUACAUCAGAGGUCGAAGGUUCAAUCCCUUCCUCGCGGA
rnacentral:tRNA from 1 species